CAUCGCCUCUUGACUUAUAAUAAGAGGUCCAGCCUGCCCAGUGAAUUUUUAACGGCCGCGGUAUCCUAACCGCGCGAAGGUAGCAUAAUCACUUGUUCUUUAAAUGGGGACUCGUAUCAACGGCAUCACGAGGGUUUUACUGUCUCCUCUUUUUGAUCAGUGAAAUUGAUCUUCCCGUGAAGAAGCGGGAAUAAUCCUAUAAGACGAGAAGACCCCAUGGAGCUUAAAACCAAAUAACAACUUAACCACUUACCCCACUAGAAAUUUAAGCCCUGUUAUAAGGUUUUUGGUUGGGGUGACCGCGGAGUAAAGAACAUCCUCCACGACGGAAAGAACACACUCUUUAUUUAAGAACCACAAUUCUAGAAAUUAGAAUACUAACGUUUACUGACCCGAUAAUCGAUCAACGGACCAAGUUACCCUGGGGAUAACAGCGCAAUCUACUUCAAGAGCUCAUAUCGACAAGUAGGCUUACGACCUCGAUGUUGGAUCAGGGUAUCCCGGUGGUGCAGCCGCUACCGAAGGUUCGUUUGUUCAACGAUUAAAACCCUACGUGAUCU
rnacentral:rRNA from 1 species